AUCCAGCUGACGAGUUCGAAAUAAGUCGAAACGCGCGUCCCGUAU
rnacentral:hammerhead_ribozyme from 1 species